rnacentral:rRNA from 1 species
AUUGAACGCUGGCGGCAGGCCUAACACAUGCAAGUCGAACGAGUGGCGGACGGGUGAGUAAUGUCUGGGAAACUGCCCGAUGGAGGGGGAUAACUACUGGAAACGGUAGCUAAUACCGCAUACCAUCGGAUGAGCCCAGAGGGGAUUAGCUAGUAGGAGGGGUAACGGCUCAACUAGGCGACGAUCCCUAGCUGGUCUAAGAGGAUGACAAGCCACACUGGAACUGAUACACGGUCCAGACUCCGACGCGAGGCAGCAGAGGGGAAUAUUGAACAAUGGGCGCAAGCCUGCUGCAGCCAUGCCGCGUGUAUGAAGAAGGCCUUCGGGUUGUAAAGUACUUUCAGCGGGGAGGCGUUACUAGCAGAAGAAGCACCGGCUAACUCCGUGCCAGCAGCCGCGGUAAUUC